UGGCUCUGUUGGUAGAGCAUGGUGUUUGCAACGCCAGGGUUGUGGGUUCAAUUCCCAC
rnacentral:tRNA from 1 species